GCCUAACCCAAAUACACUUGUUGGUGCCAUGGUUGCUGGUCCUGAUAAGCGUGACGGGUUUCACGACGUUCGCACCAAUUAUAACUAUACUGAGCCAACUCUAGCUGGAAAUGCAGGCUUGGUUGCAGCGCUUGUUGCUCUGUCAGGUGAAAAGACAAAUGGAAUUGACAAGAACACCAUCUUCUCUGCUGUGCCUCCAAUGUUUCCAACUCCACCCCCACCUCCAGCCCCUUGGAAACCAUGAUCAUAUGACUCAUUCUUCUGGAAGCAUGUUACAUAAGUUGCAGAAACGCUGUUGGUUGUGGUCGGAUUUUGAAACGUCUGUCGAGGUGAAACUGAAGACUUUAGUGAAAGAAUGUAAAACAAUAUUGCUUGGCAGAGAUACCACAAGCCAAAUGAUUGAGAUAACUAUAAAGAUUUUGGCUUUAGGG
rnacentral:misc_RNA from 1 species